rnacentral:rRNA from 1 species
AUUGAACGCUGGCGGCAUGCCUUACACAUGCAAGUCGAACGGCAGCACGGGUGCUUGCACCUGGUGGCGAGUGGCGAACGGGUGAGUAAUACAUCGGAACAUGUCCUGUAGUGGGGGAUAGCCCGGCGAAAGCCGGAUUAAUACCGCAUACGAUCCACGGAUGAAAGUGGGGGACCUUCGGGCCUCGCGCUAUAGGGUUGGCCGAUGGCUGAUUAGCUAGUUGGUGGGGUAAAGGCCUACCAAGGCGACGAUCAGUAGCUGGUCUGAGAGGACGACCAGCCACACUGGGACUGAGACACGGCCCAGACUCCUACGGGAGGCAGCAGUGUGGAAUUUUGGACAAUGGGCGAAAGCCUGAUCCAGCAAUGCCGCGUGUGUGAAGAAGGCCUUCGGGUUGUAAAGCACUUUUGUCCGGAAAGAAAUCCUUGACUCUAAUACAGUCGGGGGAUGACGGUACCGGAAGAAUAAGCACCGGCUAACUACGUG